UUGUCAUCUUUAUGCCACCAGCAGCCAUCCUAGGGUUUUCUAAGGUUUUCUUGGCCGCCACCUUCAAACAAGGAAAGUUUGAAGGCGCUAGCUCUGCUUCCUUAUGUUGCCGCCCCAUCUCCAAGGGGCUCCAUAAGUUUGCUGCCAUCUAAAGAGGAUUCCUCAUCUUUGAUCCUCUAGUUUGAAGGUUUUCAAGGUGGAGUUUCAAAUCUG
rnacentral:lncRNA from 1 species